AUCCGGAUCGAGGACAGUGUAUGGUGGGUAGUUUGACUGGGGCGGUCUCCUCCUAAAGAGUAACGGAGGAGUACGAAGGUGCGCUCAGACCGGUCGGAAAUCGGUCGUAGAGUAUAAAGGCAAAAGCGCGCUUGACUGCGAGACAGACACGUCGAGCAGGUACGAAAGUAGGUCUUAGUGAUCCGGUGGUUCUGUAUGGAAGGGCCAUCGCUCAACGGAUAAAAGGUACUCCGGGGAUAACAGGCUGAUACCGCCCAAGAGUUCAUAUCGACGGCGGUGUUUGGCACCUCGAUGUCGGCUCAUCACAUCCUGGGGCUGAAGCCGGUCCCAAGGGUAUGGCUGUUCGCCAUUUAAAGUGGUACGCGAGCUGGGUUUAGAACGUCGUGAGACAGUUCGGUCCCUAUCUGCCGUGGACGUUUGAGAUUUGAGAGGGGCUGCUCCUAGUACGAGAGGACCGGAGUGGACGAACCUCUGGUGUUCCGGUUGUCACGCCAGUGGCAUUGCCGGGUAGCUAUGUUCGGAAAAGAUAACCGCUGAAAUCAUCUAAGCGGGAAACUUGCCUCAAGAUGAGAUCUCGCUGGAACCUUGAGUUCCCUGAAGGGCCGUCGAAGACUACGACGUUGAUAGGUGGGGUGUGUAAGCGCUGUGAGGCGUUGAGCUAACCCAUACUAAUUGCCCGUGAGGCUUGACCAUAUAACACCCAAGCAAUU
rnacentral:rRNA from 1 species